GGAUGCGAUCAUACCAGCACUAAAGCACCGGAUCCCAUCAAAACUCCGAAGUUAAGCAUGCUUGGGCGAGAGUAGUACUAGGAUGGGUGACCUCCUAGGAAGUCCUCGUGUUGCAUUCC
rnacentral:rRNA from 1 species